UUGAAGAUACCACCAGUCGAAGCUGCAAGUCGUUGUUGUGUUUACAUUUACUCCCCCCCACCGACCCCUUUUAUUUCUGUCAUAUGAAAACUUUUCAGCCUUGUACCACACACACCUAUUGCUGCACUACAUUUUUCCUGCUCAUUAAUGAUUUCUGGAGUUUUCAGCUUUGUACACCUGUUUUACUGCACUCUUCUUCCUGCUCAUUAAUGAUUUCAGCAAAAAGAUGAUUCAUACAUAUUCCCUACAAAUUUCUCUGAACACAUGAAAGGUGAUGAUGG
rnacentral:lncRNA from 1 species